ACAACGUCGAAAGCAGCCGUUGGGAGCCCAGGAGGCGGGGCGCCUGUGGGAGCCGUGGAGGGAACUUUCCCAGUCCCCGAGGCGGAUCCGGUGUUGCAUCCUUGGAGCGAGCUGAGAGCUCGAGAGACGGGGAUUUAGCUAUGUUGCCCAAGCUGGUCUGGAACUCCGGAGCUCAAGCAGUCCGCCCGCCUUGGCCCCCCAAAGCGCUGGAAUUACAGGCGUAAUGCACUGUGCCUGGCCUUUAAAAAAAAAUUGAGGUUAUUUUGGGGACAGUAGAGCGUCCAGACACAUCCUAAUUUGCAUAGCUGCGCAGUUUUAAAAAAUGCAAUGCAUUUUUACCUGUUAGGUACAGAACCUGCUAAGGCCAUCAAACCUAUUGAUCGGAAGUCAGUCCAUCAGAUUUGCUCUGGGCCGGUGGUACCGAGUCUAAGCACUGCGGUGAAGGAGUUAGUAGAAAACAGUCUGGAUGCUGGUGCCACUAAUAUUGAUCUAAAGCUUAAGGACUAUGGAGUGGAUCUCAUUGAAGUUUCAGGCAAUGGAUGUGGGGUAGAAGAAGAAAACUUCGAAGGCUUAACUCUGAAACAUCACACAUCUAAGAUUCAAGAGUUUGCCGACCUACCUCAGGUUGAAACUUUUGGCUUUCGGGGGGAAGCUCUGAGCUCACUUUGUGCACUGAGGUGAUAAAAUAUUUUUAUCCAUUCACUUGACCCCUUAGAAAAACCUCUCUGAAAAUUAAUUGGAAUCAUUAUUAUUUACAGUUUUCUGUCUCAAUAUCUCAGCUUCCAGCUUCUGAAUUCUGUUUUGUCUCACUGCCAAUCUAAGUCCUAGUACUUCUGAAAUGUGAGCAAUAAAUGAAUGAAAUGAAGCAAAUAGUAUUGUUAAAAAAA
rnacentral:lncRNA from 1 species